CGGUGAGGAGCUCACAACGCUGAGUCGUUGUUAGUGUGAUGGGGAACGUGAGUGAGCAGGUCUGCACCGCCAGGAGAGAUCAGGUGGUGUUCAUGGAGCGGAGCCCGGCCGUGGUGUGGAUCUGCCUGCUGGGUGCCGGCCUCGCUCUGGCCUUGUCUCCAGCCAUCUCCGUUACAACCUCCCAGGCUGACCCCCGACCCCCGCAGCUGAUUGGCUGUGUGUUCCUGAAUCGAGCUAACAUCACCUGCAGCUGGGAGGGUGGAGACACCGCGAC